rnacentral:rRNA from 1 species
AUACGUAGGUGGCAAGCGUUGUCCGGAUUUACUGGGCGUAAAGGGUGUGUAGGCGGUUUGUUAAGUUUAAGAUUAAAGCCCGAGGCUUAACCUCGGUUCGUCUUAAAAACUGGCAGACUUGAGUGCAGUAGAGGCAAGUGGAAUUUCUAGUGUAGCGGUUAAAUGCGUAGAUAUUAGAAGGAACACCAGUGGCGAAGGCGGCUUGCUGGGCUGUUACUGACGCUGAGACACGAAAGUGUGGGGAGCAAACAGGAUUAGAUACCCUGGUAGUCCACACUGUAAACGAUGAAUGCUAGGUGUAGGGGGUAUCGACCCCUUCUGUGCCGCAGUCAACACAAUAAGCAUUCCGCCUGGGGAGUACGGCCGCAAGGUUGAAACUCAAAGGAAUUGACGGGG